rnacentral:tRNA from 1 species
GUCGAACUAGUAUAAGAAGUACAAAGGUUUUACAUGCCUUUAGUGGCAUUUUUGCCGUUCGAUA